rnacentral:lncRNA from 1 species
UGAAUUCUGUAUGCGAAGUUUGUCACAAGAAGGUGGACUGGACUUGUGGAGGAUUUUCUUGUCAGACGUGCCCUAACUAUGUUGUUCAUUCUAAAUGUGCUACCAGAUAUGAUGUUUGGAACAUGAAAGAGCUUGAAGGAGUACCUGAAGAAGAAGAAGAUAUAGAACCAUAUGUGGUGAUAGACGACAACACAAUACAACAUUUCAGCCACAAAGAGCAUUACCUCAGAUUCAAUGAGAAUGGUGUUUUGUAUGAGGAUACCAAACGAUGCAGCGCAUGCACCCAUCCCAUUGGUCUCCAAUCCUUUUAUGGAUGUAUGGAUUGUGAUUUUUCUCUCCAUCAGUGCUGUGCUAAAUGUCCUAAAAAGAAAAGGCAUGUGUUACACAAUGAACGGCUCACUUUAUUUACAAACAAGGAGCUAGAUACCUUCGGAUGUUAUGCUUGCAGUCGAAUGUGCAAUGGAUUCAUAUACAAGGAUCGGUAUACGAAGUUGGAUGUCUUGUGCGGUUCAGUUUCUGAGCCAUUUGAACGUCAUCACCACCAUCCCUUAUAUUACACUUUCGUAUUAUCUGACAAUUCCAUUGAAGAGACGGGAAUAUGCAAUGGUUGCAACAAUAAGGAAUAUCGUCUACUCAAGUGCAUUGAAGAUGAUUGUGGAUUUGUAAUAUGCUUCAAAUGUGCCACUCUACCACAAGUGGUAAAGCACAGAGUAGAUGAUCAUCCUCUCUCACUAUGCUAUGUGGAAGAAGAAGAGGCAAGUGGUAAAUACUGGUGCGACAUCUGUGAGAGAGAAACCGAUCCAAAGAAAUGGUUCUACACGUGUAAAGAUCACUUGGCUAGUUUGCAUACAAAAUGUGUGCUCGGAGACACUGCAGGACUCAUGCCAAGAAGCGUACCAAAGUUGUUGGGCAUACCGCAUGAGGUGGUGCUGAAUAAUAGUGUAACUCGCCCAUUUUGCAUUCGGUGCAAGUCUCGUUGCAUGUACCCUAUCUACCUCAAGGUGCUUGGGUCCCCAGAUAUAUGCUUUUGCUCUGUUGAGUGCUCUCUUGUUUACGUUUGAUAUGGGAAGAGGUAGAGCGAAAUGAACAAUCAUAAUAUUAAUAAAUAUUAAUAAGCCAUGGAGGCAAAGCAUAGGUUGAUGAUUAUAUUCUCUCACUAUGCUAUGGAGAAAAGGAAAAGAAAAAUUUACACUUAGACAUACUUUAUCUCUACUCUAUAUCACUUUAGCAUACUUUUCCCAUGUCAAGUACUUUUGUACGUGCUAUUGUCUAAAUUACCCCUGAAAUUAAUUAUCUUUCUAUUUCCCUUACUUUUAUCGUGACCCAACUCUUUGUGAAGCUUUACCUUUCUCUUUUUUUCCUUUUAUUCUUCAAUACAAAUUUUUAUUUCACGAGAAAAGAAUCCAAAAAAUAAAAAAAUAUUUAAAGAGGCGAUUCAGUUGGAAGUGAUGAUGACAAAGUUUUCUUCGACGGUGGAAGCGUUAGAUUUCAAGGAAGCUUAACGUUCAUAGGUGAAGUUCGCUCGCUCUCACCGCGUCGUUGAGUCAGAUCUGAGUCACCUUCUAUUCUUCACUUUUUUCUUGCUCGUAGAUAUCGAGAUGAAAGAUAAUGAAACCAAAGGUUAAGCGAAGAAUAGUGAUGCCAUAUACCUUUUAAUCAUAAAUAUGGUGGAUUUAUGAUUUUCUUCCUCUAUAUUUUGAUUUUUUUUGUUUAAUGGACGGUGAGAUUCAAAACGAGAGGUGAGAAAGCUGGAAGAAAAGAAAAAGAUCCAAAGCUUAUAACCACACUUGCCUAACCACAUCAAUAAGCCAAUGAACCAAAUUUUAUAACCAUACUUGCUUAUAAAAUAAUUUCUCCAUAACCACAAUUAUUGAAUUGUAAUGGUCAGCAAAAAGUUAUUAAAAAACAAAUUAUGAAUCUCAAAGAAAUGACCACAAUUUUUUAAUGAUCAUACCUAUACUAUGAUCUUGACCACAAAUGUAUGUUCUUACUAACUGCACCUUCUAUUAUAACAUAACAACUCAUUCCCAAAUCAACCAUACAUUACGUUAAUAUGCAUAACUAAAAAAAAUUUACUAUACAGUUAAACACAAAAUAAAAAAAACUUCUUAUGUACCACGAAACACACAUCCAUCGGAUCAAAUUUAAUUUGCACUAAUUCAAUUGUCACUAUAAAAGCACAAGACUCCAGAAACCUACCAACUAGUCACGAGACUUUUCGUAAAGGGCAUUUUUGUCACAAUAAUUCAAAAGUAAGACACAAAGUACACCACCAGCUACAAGUAUGUUAAACUGUAAAAGUGGAAGCCGAAAGUACCUAUAUACGUAAAGCUCUCAAAGGAAAAUGGCAAAUACUGGUGUGACAUUUGGUAAGAAAGAUACCAAUCCAAAGAACUGGUUCUACACGUGUGUGCUCGGAGACACUAGGUGGCUCAUGCCAGGGAACACGCUGAAGUAUUUUGGCAUACCAUUUGAGGUACAUCACGUCCAUUUUUGGCAUACCAUUGCAAUACGCUAUCAUCUUAAAGGUCUGGUACAUACAUUUGCUCUGUGAGAUGAAUUAACAAGCUUCUCUUUGGGGUCCAUGCUAUAAUCAACCUCUCUCACAAUUUCAAGAGUAAUCUGCAAUAGUAACUAAGGUUGAAAAAGAUUAUAAGCAUUUUGAUUAGACAAGCGGAAGCGAGUAUACAAGUUUGUAAUCUACUUUUUAUCAAUGUACGUAAUGUGACUUCAUUAUCCAUGGAAAUAUUUGAAACAGCUGAAACGAUGUCUCUAUAAUGAUACAUCCAAGAAAGACAGUGACGACAAUGAACCAGAAUUAUUUCUCAGCUGAUCGUCUAUCUAAAUAACAAAAGUGAUGCAUAACCUUCAACUUAGGUCAUGGUCAUCAAAAUAGUUGCAACUAUAAUGAGAAAAAAAUCUGUAAGGUUAUCCUGAAAGAGGCAAAUGCUGCCAGAACUAUAGCUUCUUGAGCGUCCACCAUCUUUCUUCGUUACGGUUAUGCAGCUGAUAAGUGACAAUACUACGCAUUUGGAGAAAAAGCAAAAAGAAAACCAGAAAAGUAAAAGAGAAAACAAAGCGGACAACCCCACCUUAAGCAUAGGGAACCUUUUCUUUAUCGAAAUAUGAAAACAAAGAAACUUGAGAGGGGAUAAUGUUUGAGUGGCCAGAGAAAGAGAUGCCCACACUGUUCAACCUCAUGACUUCUUCUUUUUCUUAAUACACGUAUUCAACCCCUUUCUCUUUCUUCAUCUUCUUUAGUAUACGAGAGAGAGAGAGAGCAAAUGGAAUCUGAGGGAGUGUGGUUACCAUUUCACGAGCAUCCUAUGAUGCCUUGGAAUGAUCUGAGGAGAGGUGAUUGUUGUGGGAGAUAUGAAUCACAGAGUGACGGCUACUUUUGUAAACUCUGUGUCUUUUUCGUCCACAAGAAAUGUGGCAACGACGAGAUCUCUGAAUUCAUCGACCACCCAUCUCACCCCGGGCACACUCUCGAGCUUCAACAUGAAUCAAGUAACAGAUGUGACUUUUGUCGUUGGAAAAUCUCAAAGCUAUUCUACCGUUGUGACAUGUGUGACUUCGACUUGGAUCUACACUGUGCCAAGCAACAACCACCAAAUGUUAUUGACAAUUUUGAGACCCAUCCCCACAAGCUCAUACUUCUCAAGAAAGGGACUAAGUUCGACUGUUCUGCUAAAUGCGGGAAGGCUAGUGGUGGACUUCCUUACAAAUGUGAUGAAUGCGAUGUAUCCUUCCACGUGGAUUGUGUAUGGAACCCAGCAAUAAAGCUAAAUUACUCACCAGAGGUAAACCACCCUUACCACUCCUUGCAUCCUCUUAAGCUCCUCACAGGUCCACCACCGCACUAUUCUGAUGGUAAAUGUCGUCUUUGCGGAACAGAGAUUGGUGAAUAUUUUUAUCAUUGUUCUUCUUGUAACUUCACUGUGGAUUUCCAUUGUGUUCUUAUUCCACCACAAAAAUCUCUUGUUGAUCCGAAAGUGCAUGAUCACCAACUCACCCUUCUUCCAAGACUCGAUUCUUUUACAUGUAAUGCUUGCGGUCUAAAGGGAGAUCGAAGCCCUUACGCAUGUUUUGAUUGUGGUUUCAUGAUCCAUCAAGAUUGUCUUGGCCUUCCACGUGUCAUUAACAUCAACCGGCAUGAUCACCGUGUUUCUCGUACUUCGGUUCUUGGUGACGCUGCUAUGAAUUCUGUGUGUGGAGUUUGUCGCAAGAAAGUGGAUUGGACUUGUGGUGGGUUUUCUUGCAAGAGGUGUCCUGGCUAUGUCGUUCAUUCUAAAUGUGCUACCAGAAAAGAUGUGUGGAAUGGGGAAGAACUAGAAGGAGUACCUGAAGAAGAAGAAGAUAUAGAACCAUAUGUGGUGAUAGACGACAACACAAUACAACAUUUCAGCCACAAAGAGCAUUACCUCAGAUUCAAUGAGAAUGGUGUUUUGUAUGAGGAUACCAAACGAUGCAGCGCAUGCACCCAUCCCAUCGGUCUUCAAUCUUUUUAUAGCUGUGUGAAUUGUGAUUUUUCUCUACAUCAGAAUUGUGCUGAAUGUCCUAAAAGGAG